rnacentral:rRNA from 1 species
CGUGGGUAACCUGCCCAAGAGAUCGGGAUAACACCUGGAAACAGAUGCUAAUACCGGAUAACGACAGAUGAUGCCUAUCAACUGUUUAAAAGAUGGUUCUGCUAUCACUCUUGGAUGGACCUGCGGUGCAUUAGCUAGUUGGUAGGGUAACGGCCUACCAAGGCGAUGAUGCAUAGCCGAGUUGAGAGACUGAUCGGCCACAUUGGGACUGAGACACGGCCCAAACUCCUACGGGAGGCAGCAGCC